rnacentral:rRNA from 1 species
GACGAACGCUGGCGGCGUGCUUAACACAUGCGAGUCGAACGGAAAGGCCCUGCUUUUGUGGGGUGCUCGAGUGGCGAACGGGUGAGUAACACGUGAGUAACCUGCCCUUGACUUUGGGAUAACUUCAGGAAACUGGGGCUAAUACCGGAUAGGAGCUCCUGCUGCAUGGUGGGGGUUGGAAAGUUUCGGCGGUUGGGGAUGGACUCGCGGCUUAUCAGCUUGUUGGUGGGGUAGUGGCUUACCAAGGCUUUGACGGGUAGCCGGCCUGAGAGGGUGACCGGCCACAAUGGGACUAAGAUACGGCCCAGUCUCCUACGGGAGGCAGCAGUGGGGAAUAUGGCACAAUGGGCGGAAGCCUGAUGCAGCAACGCCGCGUGCGGGAUGACGGCCUUCGGGUUGUAAACCGCUUUCGCCGGUGACGAAGCGUGAGUGACGGUAAUGGGUAAAGAAGCACCGGCUAACUACGUG